rnacentral:rRNA from 1 species
UACGUAGGGUCCGAGCGUUGUCCGGAAUUAUUGGGCGUAAAGGGCUCGUAGGCGGUUUGUCGCGUCGGGAGUGAAAACCAGAGGCUUAACUUCUGGCUUGCUUUCGAUACGGGCAGACUUGAGGCAUGCAGGGGAGAACGGAAUUCCUGGUGUAGCGGUGAAAUGCGCAGAUAUCAGGAGGAACACCGGUGGCGAAGGCGGGUCUCUGGGCCGAUAUUGACGCUGAGGAGCGAAAGCGUGGGGAGCGAACAGG